GAUGAACGCUGGCGGCGUGCUUAACACAUGCAAGUCGAACGGACAGGCCCAAGCUUGCUUGGGUACUCGAGUGGCGAACGGGUGAGUAACACGUGUGUAAACUGCCCUGCACUUCGGGGUAAACCUGGGGAAAUGGGUCUAAUACAGGAUAGGACCACUUGAACGGCGUUGUGGAGGAGAGUUAUUUCGUUGUGGGAUGAGCUCGCGGCCUAUCAGCUUGUUGGUGGCGUAAUGGCCGACCAAGGCGUCGGCGGGGAGCCGGUGUGAGAGGGAGACCGGCCACAUUGGGACGGAGGUCCGGACCAGGCUCCUACGGGAGGCAGCAGAGGGGAUGAUUGCACAAUGGGGGGAAGGCUGAGGCAGCGUCGCGGCGGGGGGGAUGACGGACUUCGGGUUGUAAACUCCUUUCGUCAAAGACGAAUUUAUGACGGUACUUGGAGAAGAAGCACCGGCUAACUACGUG
rnacentral:rRNA from 1 species